AUUGAACGCUGGCGGCAGGCCUAACACAUGCAAGUCGAACGAGUGGCGGACGGGUGAGUAAUGUCUGUGACACGGCCCGAUGGAGGGGGAUAACUAAUGGAAACGGUAGCUAAUACCGCAUACCAUCGGAUGUGCCCAGAUGGGAUUAGCUAGUGGGUGGGGUAACGGCUCACCUAGGCGACGAUCCCUAGCUGGUCUGAGAGGAUGACCAGCCACACUGGAACUGGGACACGGUCCAGACUCCUACGGGAGGCAGCAGUGGGGAAUAUUGCACAAUGGGCGCAAGCCUGAUGCAGCCAUGCCGCGUGUAUGAAGAAGGCCUUCGGGUUGUAAAGUACUUUAAGCGAGGAGGCGUUACUCGCAGAAGAAGCACCGGCUAACUCCGUGCCAGCCGCCGCGGUAAUAC
rnacentral:rRNA from 1 species